AACGAACGCUGGCGGCAGGCCUAACACAUGCAAGUCGAGCGAGGUAGCAAUACCUAGCGGCGGACGGGUGAGUAACGCGUGGGAACGUACCCUUUGCUACGGAAUAGCCCCGGGAAACUGGGAGUAAUACCGUAUGUGCCCUUCGGGAGAAAGAUUUAUCGGCAAAGGAUCGGCCCGCGUUGGAUUAGGUAGUUGGUGGGGUAAUGGCCUACCAAGCCGACGAUCCAUAGCUGGUUUGAGAGGAUGAUCAGCCACACUGGGACUGAGACACGGCCCAGACUCCUACGGGAGGCAGCAGUGGGGAAUCUUAGACAAUGGGCGCAAGCCUGAUCUAGCCAUGCCGCGUGAGUGAUGAAGGCCUUAGGGUUGUAAAGCUCUUUCAGAUGGGAAGAUAAUGACGGUACCAUCAGAAGAAGCCCCGGCUAACUCCGUG
rnacentral:rRNA from 1 species